UACGAAGGGGGCUAGCGUUGCUCGGAAUCACUGGGCGUAAAGGGUGCGUAGGCGGGUCUUUAAGUCAGGGGUGGAAAUCCUGGAGCUCAACUCCAGAACUGCCUUUGAUACUGGGAAGCUUGAGUCCGGGAGAGGUGAGUGGAACUCCGAGUGUAGAGGUGAAAUUCGUAGAUAUUCGGAAGAACACCAGUGGCGAAGGCGGCUCACUGGCCCGGUACUGACGCUGAGGUGCGAAAGCGUGGGGAGCAAACAGG
rnacentral:rRNA from 1 species